GCUUUCGUGGUGUAACGGUUAGCACACUCUGCGCGUAUUCCAGAGGUCCAGGUUCGAGUCCCGGCGAAGGCA
rfam:Stegodyphus mimosarum contig14125, whole genome shotgun sequence.